GUGAAGAACGCAGCGAAAUGCGAUAAGUAGUGUGAAUUGCAGAAUUCAGUGAAUCAUCGAAUCUUUGAACGCACAUUGCGCCCUUUGGUAUUCCAAAGGGCAUGCCUGUUCGAGCGUCAUUUGUACCCUCAAGCUUUGCUUGGUGUUGGGCGUCUUGUCUCUAGCUUUGCUGGAGACUCGCCUUAAAGUAAUUGGCAGCCGGCCUACUGGUUUCGGAGCGCAGCACAAGUUGCACUCUCUAUCAGCAAAGGUCUAGCAUCCAUUAAGCCUUUUUUUCAACUUUUGACCUCGGAUCAGGUAGGGAUACCCGCUGAACUUAAGCAUAUCAAUAAGCGGAGGA
rnacentral:misc_RNA from 1 species